GUCAGUUGUUUAUUUUUUGCUUCUGUGAAGGAAUUGUUUGCCGUUGUGUCCAGUAGUAUGAAUAACAUCAUAGCUUGUUUUACAUGCACACUAUACUUUAAUUAAUACAGAGGUAUAAUUUAAGAAAUCCGAGUACACUGAAAAUGUUGUCUUUCACCAACAGAAAUGGAUGAUGACGACGAGUUAGAGAGUGCGAUGCUGAACAUCUCCCCCUCCAAGCUACAGUUGCGGUCUUCACGACCACUGUCAUCAACAUCAUCAUCCUCAGCUGCUGAACUGAGACGGUCUGUGGGACCAGGAAAAGGUUUUUACACAUCAGGCUCAGCACUGGAGCACAGUUCUGUUGAAUUGUGAUAUGAAAUGCUCUCCAAGUCUGAAUAAAAAGCCUUUCUUAUUUUGUCACUGUUUUGGCCAUGUUCUGGCCUUGUUCCACUAACAAAUGUCUGUGCCUUUGGAGUGGAUGGAAUGAGAUGGAAAGACAGAGAUGGGUGGCAGAAAGGAGAAAAUAAAAAUAAAUGAUGUAAAUUUUCUU